UACGUAGGGUGCAAGCGUUAAUCGGAAUUACUGGGCGUAAAGCGUGCGCAGGCGGUUUUGUAAGUCUGACGUGAAAUCCCCGGGCUCAACCUGGGAAUUGCGUUGGAGACUGCAAGGCUGGAGUCUGGCAGAGGGGGGUAGAAUUCCACGUGUAGCAGUGAAAUGCGUAGAGAUGUGGAGGAACACCGAUGGCGAAGGCAGCCCCCUGGGUCAAGACUGACGCUCAUGCACGAAAGCGUGGGGAGCAAACGGG
rnacentral:rRNA from 1 species